GAAACAUCUUCGGGUUGUGAGGUUAAGCGACUAAGCGUACACGGUGGAUGCCCUGGCAGUCAGAGGCGAUGAAGGACGUGCUAAUCUGCGAUAAGCGUCGGUAAGGUGAUAUGAACCGUUAUAACCGGCGAUUUCCGAAUGGGGAAACCCAGUGUGAUUCGUCACACUAUCAUUAACUGAAUCCAUAGGUUAAUGAGGCGAACCGGGGGAACUGAAACAUCUAAGUACCCCGAGGAAAAGAAAUCAACCGAGAUUCCCCCAGUAGCGGCGAGCGAACGGGGAGCAGCCCAGAGCCUGAAUCAGUGUGUGUGUUAGUGGAAGCGUCUGGAAAGGCGCGCGAUACAGGGUGACAGCCCCGUACACAAAAAUGCACAUACUGUGAGCUCGAUGAGUAGGGCGGGACACGUGGUAUCCUGUCUGAAUAUGGGGGGACCAUCCUCCAAGGCUAAAUACUCCUGACUGACCGAUAGUGAACCAGUACCGUGAGGGAAAGGCGAAAAGAACCCCGGCGAGGGGAGUGAAAAAGAACCUGAAACCGUGUACGUACAAGCAGUGGGAGCCUCUUUAUGGGGUGACUGCGUACCUUUUGUAUAAUGGGUCAGCGACUUAUAUUCUGUAGCAAGGUUAACCGAAUAGGGGAGCCGAAGGGAAACCGAGUCUUAACUGGGCGUUAAGUUGCAGGGUAUAGACCCGAAACCCGGUGAUCUAGCCAUGGGCAGGUUGAAGGUUGGGUAACACUAACUGGAGGACCGAACCGACUAAUGUUGAAAAAUUAGCGGAUGACUUGUGGCUGGGGGUGAAAGGCCAAUCAAACCGGGAGAUAGCUGGUUCUCCCCGAAAGCUAUUUAGGUAGCGCCUCGUGAAUUCAUCUCCGGGGGUAGAGCACUGUUUCGGCAAGGGGGUCAUCCCGACUUACCAACCCGAUGCAAACUGCGAAUACCGGAGAAUGUUAUCACGGGAGACACACGGCGGGUGCUAACGUCCGUCGUGAAGAGGGAAACAACCCAGACCGCCAGCUAAGGUCCCAAAGUCAUGGUUAAGUGGGAAACGAUGUGGGAAGGCCCAGACAGCCAGGAUGUUGGCUUAGAAGCAGCCAUCAUUUAAAGAAAGCGUAAUAGCUCACUGGUCGAGUCGGCCUGCGCGGAAGAUGUAACGGGGCUAAACCAUGCACCGAAGCUGCGGCAGCGACACUAUGUGUUGUUGGGUAGGGGAGCGUUCUGUAAGCCUGUGAAGGUGUGCUGUGAGGUAUGCUGGAGGUAUCAGAAGUGCGAAUGCUGACAUAAGUAACGAUAAAGCGGGUGAAAAGCCCGCUCGCCGGAAGACCAAGGGUUCCUGUCCAACGUUAAUCGGGGCAGGGUGAGUCGACCCCUAAGGCGAGGCCGAAAGGCGUAGUCGAUGGGAAACAGGUUAAUAUUCCUGUACUUGGUGUUACUGCGAAGGGGGACGGAGAAGGCUAUGUUGGCCGGGCGACGGUUGUCCCGGUUUAAGCGUGUAGGCUGGUUUUCCAGGCAAAUCCGGAAAAUCAAGGCUGAGGCGUGAUGACGAGGCACUACGGUGCUGAAGCAACAAAUGCCCUGCUUCCAGGAAAAGCCUCUAAGCAUCAGGUAACAUCAAAUCGUACCCCAAACCGACACAGGUGGUCAGGUAGAGAAUACCAAGGCGCUUGAGAGAACUCGGGUGAAGGAACUAGGCAAAAUGGUGCCGUAACUUCGGGAGAAGGCACGCUGAUAUGUAGGUGAAGUCCCUUGCGGAUGGAGCUGAAAUCAGUCGAAGAUACCAGCUGGCUGCAACUGUUUAUUAAAAACACAGCACUGUGCAAACACGAAAGUGGACGUAUACGGUGUGACGCCUGCCCGGUGCCGGAAGGUUAAUUGAUGGGGUUAGCGGUAACGCGAAGCUCUUGAUCGAAGCCCCGGUAAACGGCGGCCGUAACUAUAACGGUCCUAAGGUAGCGAAAUUCCUUGUCGGGUAAGUUCCGACCUGCACGAAUGGCGUAAUGAUGGCCAGGCUGUCUCCACCCGAGACUCAGUGAAAUUGAACUCGCUGUGAAGAUGCAGUGUACCCGCGGCAAGACGGAAAGACCCCGUGAACCUUUACUAUAGCUUGACACUGAACAUUGAGCCUUGAUGUGUAGGAUAGGUGGGAGGCUUUGAAGUGUGGACGCCAGUCUGCAUGGAGCCGACCUUGAAAUACCACCCUUUAAUGUUUGAUGUUCUAACGUUGGCCCCUAAUCGGGGUUGCGGACAGUGUCUGGUGGGUAGUUUGACUGGGGCGGUCUCCUCCUAAAGAGUAACGGAGGAGCACGAAGGUUGGCUAAUCCUGGUCGGACAUCAGGAGGUUAGUGCAAUGGCAUAAGCCAGCUUAACUGCGAGCGUGACGGCGCGAGCAGGUGCGAAAGCAGGUCAUAGUGAUCCGGUGGUUCUGAAUGGAAGGGCCAUCGCUCAACGGAUAAAAGGUACUCCGGGGAUAACAGGCUGAUACCGCCCAAGAGUUCAUAUCGACGGCGGUGUUUGGCACCUCGAUGUCGGCUCAUCACAUCCUGGGGCUGAAGUAGGUCCCAAGGGUAUGGCUGUUCGCCAUUUAAAGUGGUACGCGAGCUGGGUUUAGAACGUCGUGAGACAGUUCGGUCCCUAUCUGCCGUGGGCGCUGGAGAACUGAGGGGGGCUGCUCCUAGUACGAGAGGACCGGAGUGGACGCAUCACUGGUGUUCGGGUUGUCAUGCCAAUGGCACUGCCCGGUAGCUAAAUGCGGAAGAGAUAAGUACUGAAAGCAUCUAAGCACGAAACUUGCCCCGAGAUGAGUUCUCCCUGACCCUUUAAGGGUCCUGAAGGAACGUUGAAGACGACGACGUUGAUAGGCCGGGUGUGUAAGCGCAGCGAUGCGUUGAGCUAACCGGUACUAAUGAACCGUGAGGCUUAACCUU
rnacentral:rRNA from 1 species